rnacentral:rRNA from 1 species
CUUUUUCCCCCGGGGAAAAAAUAGCAUAUCAAUAAGCGGAGGAAAAGAAACCAACAGGGAUUGCCCCAGUAACGGCGAGUGAAGCGGCAACAGCUCAAAUUUGAAAUCUGGCCCUCGGGUCCGAGUUGUAAUUUGUAGAGGAUGCUUUUGGUGCGGUGCCUUCCGAGUUCCCUGGAACGGGACGCCAUAGAGGGUGAGAGCCCCGUCUGGUUGGACGUCAAGCCUCUGUAAAGCUCCUUCGACGAGUCGAGUAGUUUGGGAAUGCUGCUCUAAAUGGGAGGUAUAUGUCUUCUAAAGCUAAAUAUCGGCCAGAGACCGAUAGCGCACAAGUAGAGUGAUCGAAAGAUGAAAAGCACUUUGAAAAGAGGGUUAAAUAGUACGUGAAAUUGUUGAAAGGGAAGCGCUUGUGACCAGACUUGAGCCCCGGUUAAUCAUCCAGCCUUCUGGCUGGUGCACUUGGCCGGCUCAGGCCAGCAUCGGUUCGGCGCGGGGGAUAAAGGCAUCGGGAAUGUGGCUCCCCCGGGAGUGUUAUAGCCCGUUGUGUAAUACCCUGUACUGGACUGAGGUUCGCGCAUCUGCAAGGAUGCUGGCGUAAUGGUCAUCAGCGACCCGUCUUGAAACACGGACCAAGGAGUCGUCUUCGUAUGCGAGUGUUCGGGUGUCAAACCCCUACGCGUAAUGAAAGUAAACGCAGGUGAGAGCUUCGGCGCAUCAUCGACCGAUCCUGAUGUUCUCGGAUGGAUUUGAGUAAGAGCAUACGGGGCCGGACCCGAAAGAAGGUGAACUAUGCCUGUAUAGGGUGAAGCCAGAGGAAACUCUGGUGGAGGCUCGCAGCGGUUCUGACGUGCAAAUCGAUCGUCAAAUAUGGGCAUGGGGGCGAAAGACUAAUCGAACUUUUU